AUCGAACGCUGCGGCAUGCUUUACACAUGCAAGUCGAACGGCAGCACGGGUGCUUGCACCUGGUGGCGAGUGGCGAACGGGUGAGUAAUACAUCGGAACGUACCUAUUAGUGGGGGAUAACUAAGCGAAAGUUUAGCUAAUACCGCAUACGACCUGAGGGUGAAAGCGGGGGAUCUUCGGACCUCGCGCUAAUAGAGCGGCCGAUGGCUGAUUAGCUAGUUGGUAAGGUAAAGGCUCACCAAGGCGACGAUCAGUAGCGGGUCUUAGAGGACGAUCCGCCAAACUGGAAAUGAGACACGGUCCGGACUCCUACGGGAGGCAGCAGUGGGGAAUCUUGGACAAUGGGCGAAAGCCUGAUCCAGCAAUGCCGGGUGGGUGAAGAAGGCCUUCGGGUUGUAAAGCCCUGUUGUACGGGAGCAAGUCCUUGUCACUAAUACUGGCUGGGGAUGAGAGUACCGUAAGAAUCAGCACCGGCUAACUACGUGCCAGCCGCCGCAGUAACAC
rnacentral:rRNA from 1 species